GUUCCCCAACAAAUUAUAAGAUAUUGCAGUCUCUCAGCCUGAUUCAAUAGAACAGUAUCCAGGCCAUAUGAGGCUCUCCAAACACCAGAAAUACACAAACUACUUCAGCUCUAUUCUAGUUAAAUAAUAAAAUACAGUAUAAAAAUAUUGCGCAAUAUCCAGACCUUUGUACUGUAAUUAAUCCUCACAUGUGAUACUUUAGCAUGAAACCACCUGAUCCUCUGCAUUCAUCUUAAAGGAACUAUUUGAGUUCGGCCUACUUUUGGUCCUGUGGAUAUUUUAAAAUACAAAAAUGCGUGAGCAGCACUUUUCCAGGUACAAUGUAAACCAGGUUCUUAGUUGUCAGGGAGCAUGUCACUCGAAAUGGUAGAUUAUUGAUGGAAUUGGAGAAUCUGCUUAAACAAACAGUAUGUGGCUUUGGAUUUUCUUUGCUGUUGUAUAAUGCAUCGAAGUAGGUAAUUCUAUCAAGCUCUUCUACAAAAUAACAGCAGAGUUAAACCAGGAAAUGGUUAAUCCCUAUUGCCUUUCCUUGUACAUAUUUGAAAGCAAUAUUGCCAUGCAACUAAUUUUAUGUGUCAAGAAUAGCUGCUCCUGCCUCCACAAUAAAAACAUGUCUGUAUUUUAUGUGAAUUCCUCAGAGUUAAAUAUACAGGCUGCCCGCAUGGCCUGGGGAGGCCCAGGAAUUUCAGUACACUCAGGCUGCUAGUCAUUUUGCCUUCAGCUCAGGGUUUAAGAGGAGGAAGUGUAGAGGUACCAAAAAGGGAACAAGAAACCAAGGGAUUUCAUUUAUAGGUCACACUAAAAAACUUUCAAAUCAUGAACACUUAUUUUUCCUACAUCGUAUUCCAUUUUACCAGGAAGCUAAAAUGAGCAUUUCCAUGGAACUGCAGUUUACGUGCCAACACCCAAGAAAAUGAGAUGCAAUGGAUUACAAUUGAAACUGUAACAAUGAAGACAAAAAAGCAUUUUCAGAUCUCCAAGUUAAUUGUACAGCAGCUUCCUAUACACAUAUGAUCAACCAUAUAAUGAUCCCAUCAAAAUAAAAAAAAUCUAAGCA